UCAAUGGUGCCGACCCUCUAUUUCUAUGGUGUGAGUGAACGAGUAUUCUGCAAUCGCUCUGUGAUUUGUAAAGAUGUCUCAAUCAUGUCAACCUUCAUCACAAGAGUCAGAUAUUUUAUCUCAGGGGACCUUUCAAGAGAUAUGGGCUUCCUUGCAAAGGACAUUCAGUGAUCCCACCUGAAGUUACUUCCAUCCUGUGUAUGGGUCAAUAAUGCUGACUUGGGGAUAUUUUAGUUAGUAUUUCCUUGAGUUGUUGCUCGUCUGUGAUCAAAGAAAAUGAGGACACUUUGCAGGGAUGGCAUUUAUUCUUUAAUCAUUUUUUCUUUAAUCUUCUUUAAUGAUUAAAGAAGAUUUGAAUCAAAACUUAAAAUUGUCUUUAAUGUUCCUUAUUUAUGCUCUUACGUCUGAAAUAGUGUUUAUCCAAUGUCACAUUAAAAUAUUAAAUAACAGCAUAUUUUCUCCAUGGUUCA